rnacentral:rRNA from 1 species
GGUGAACGCUGGCGGCGUGCCUAACACAUGCAAGUCGAGCGGGUACCCGCAAGGGUACCAGCGGCGCACGGGUGAGUAACACGUGGGUAAUCUACCCCUCGGAGGGGGAUAACCGGGGGAAACUCCGGCUAAUACCCCAUACGAUCCAACAACACAAGUUGUUGGAUGAAAGGAGCGUUUGCUCCGCCGAGGGAUGAGCCCGCGGCCCAUCAGGUAGUUGGUGGGGUAAUGGCCCACCAAGCCUACGACGGGUAGCCGGCCUGAGAGGGUGGUCGGCCACAAGGGCACUGAGACACGGGCCCUACUCCUACGGGAGGCAGCAGUGGGGAAUCUUGGACAAUGGGCGAAAGCCUGAUCCAGCGACGCCGCGUGGGGGAUGAAGCCCUUCGGGGUGUAAACCCCUGUUGCGAGGGAGGAAUAAGGCCUGGAGGAAAUGCCAGGCCGAUGACUGUACCUCGCGAGGAAGCCCCGGCUAACUACGUGCCGGCAGCCGCGGUAAUACGUAGGGGGCGAGCGUUACCCGGAUUCACUGGGCGUAAAGCGGGUGUAGGCGGCUCGGUAAGUCGGGUGUGAAAUCCCACAGCUCAACUGUGGAAUUGCGCCCGAAACUGCUGAGCUUGGGGCCGGUAGAGGGAGACGGAACUGCCGGUGUAGGGGUGAAAUCCGUAGAUAUCGGCAGGAACGCCGGUGGGGAAGCCGGUCUCCUGGGCCGCGCCCGACGCUGAGACCCGAAAGCUAGGGGAGCAAACC